GGAACAGCUGUUUACAAUAGUGUGUGAGCAAUCAGUAGUUUUAGAGUACAAUUUAAGUUGCAUUUUGCCCUUGAUAAUGUGAUCAUGUAGCAUGGUGCCUAGACCUGUUGGAUUUUUUUUAUAAUCAGAAUCAAAUGUGUGUAUGGCAAGGAUUUAGACAAGUGAGUUGUCUGAGUAAGAGGUUCUGCAAAUCUUCCCUACAGGGCAGGGGAAUUGGCUGCAAGGGCUUGUUCACCGUAUGGGGUUGGAAGCUUCAUGUAAUCUUGUGUCAUCAUUGGAUCUGCAAAACGUGAUCUUCAUUUGCAGCUGCUUAAUAUAUUUCCUUUAGCCUUAGCCUCUGUGGAAAUUGGUGAAUCUAAGUCCAGGUUUGCUGAGAAAGAAAAUGGGUGGCUUGAAGUAAAUGUCAGUUUAAUAACUGUUUGAUCCACUUUUUAUCUUUCUACAAAUUCUUGAGCAUCAUAUGUGUGACGGAUCUAUCUGACUCUGAGACUGAGCUGAGUUAACAGAAGCAUUGCAGUGGCGGAUACAUUUCAUCAAUUUUUGAGUGAAAAAGGCUGUGCUUAGAUGUGUGAUCCUUUAACUUCUGAAAGCAGAUAUUCAAUUUGUAUGUCUAUCAAGAUAUGUGUGCUUUCAAUUUCCUGAAGAUAUUGAAGUGUAUAAAUGGUUACUUUGUAUUAUCCUUACUGUAGGGUAUUGAAAAAUGGUUUAUGUUCUUGUAAAUUCAUGUGCAAAAUUGGCUCCUGUUAAAAAUAAUGUUCACUUAGAACAGGAAAACCACUUUAUCUGCUAUAUAUUUUGCUGUUUCUCCUUGCAAUAAACUCAUUUUUGGGGUUGUUUUCUUCAUCUAA